CAUGCAGUCGAGCGGCGCCAAGGGGGUUUACUCCUGAGGUGGCGAGCGGCGGACGGGUGAGUAAUGCCUAGGGAUCUGCCCAGUCGAGGGGGAUAACAGUUGGAAACGACUGCUAAUACCGCAUACGCCCUACGGGGGAAAGAGGGGGACCUUCGGGCCUCUCGCGAUUGGAUGAACCUAGGUGGGAUUAGCUAGUUGGUGAGGUAAUGGCUCACCAAGGCGACGAUCCCUAGCUGUUCUGAGAGGAUGAUCAGCCACACUGGGACUGAGACACGGCCCAGACUCCUACGGGAGGCAGCAGUGGGGAAUAUUGCACAAUGGGGGAAACCCUGAUGCAGCCAUGCCGCGUGUGUGAAGAAGGCCUUCGGGUUGUAAAGCACUUUCAGUAGGGAGGAAAGGGUGAGUCUUAAUACGGCUCAUCUGUGACGUUACCUACAGAAGAAGGACCGGCUAACUCCGUGCCAGCAGCCGCGGUAAUACGGAGGGUCCGAGCGUUAAUCGGAAUUACUGGGCGUAAAGCGUGCGCAGGCGGUUUGUUAAGCGAGAUGUGAAAGCCCUGGGCUCAACCUAGGAAUAGCAUUUCGAACUGGCGAACUAGAGUCUUGUAGAGGGGGGUAGAGUUCCAGGUGUAGCGGUGAAUGCGUAGAGAUCUGGAGGAAUACGGUGGCGAGGCGGCCCCUGGACAAGAUGACGCUCUGCACGAAGCGUGGGAGCAACGGAU
rnacentral:rRNA from 1 species